GUUGAUCUUGGCCUUUUAUUUUCAAUCAUCCAACAGCCCGAUACUUCCCCUAUUUUUAUAUAAAAUUGUCCAAACCCUUUCAGAACAACCUAUUACCCUUUCACUUGACUUCCCCACCCAGUUCAUCUCUAUGAACCGUAGCCCGCCGCGCUGAAAUUUUUAAGCCACCACCGGCCGACGGCGGGGCCCAAUCGACCCCAAACCCCUACCACACAACCAACACCCAUCCCUAAUUCCUAAUCCACCAUAUCUCCCAAAAUCCCCACCAAAUCCACCAGUUUUGGAUAUAAAAAAAAGAAGAAAAAGCAAAAAUUUCCAAGUCUUAGAGCUUCCAAAAACGAUUAAGGCUGAAAUUUGUAUGUUUGCUUGUUAUUAAUGAGAACACGCGAUUAAUACAAAUUUUGGCUCAAAUCGGAGAAUGUCGGCAGGUCUGUUUAAGCCAAAGUCCGUCUACCUAUUUUAGAUACCUAUGUUCGCUUCUUCUCCUAUCUUUGUUUUCUUCUCUCCCCCAUUCUUUCUAUUUUCUGUUUCCUUUUCUCUUUGACCGCUGAAAAUUCGGAUAGCAUUAGUUUCUGAGUAAUUCUGGACUAAUUUUGUCAAAUAGAUUAGAAUUAAUUUUGUUUGUUUUCCUUUAUUUUCUAGAUUUCGAGUUAGUAUUCAAAGAUGAUCGAGUUUUUUAUAUACUAUCGAUUAGGUUUUAGUCUGGUUGGAUAAAAAUGUAAGCUUCAAAUUCUCAUGUGGUUGGGUUAAGCUCAACUUUGGGUUUUUGGGUCAUUUCUAACCCGUUACAAAGCAGCCCUUGGUUUGGGUUUUGGAUUAACUUGACCCAUUUUGGAUUGCCUGAAAGUAAAUACAGGGGUGUUAAGGGUUGCUUUGAUCUUUUUAAAUUUAGGGAAUCUUUUAAAGCUACCUGGAAAGCUUCUAAGAAUGUGGGGAAGGGGUUUGUUCAAUAAACAGGUUAAAAUUUGGGGGUCUGAAGUGAAUGGAUAAAAAUUGGGGAAGGAGUAAUUGAUAAAAUGGUGAAAUCAUUUAUGUUUCCCUAAGGUCCUCUAUAUAAGUUUUGCCUUCAAUAAAAUUGGUAGAGAGAAUAUACUAAAAAAAUUAAUAACGGGUGAAAGAGAUACUCUGAAAAAUAUACUAAAAAGCUGCAUUGUUUUGGGUCAAAAUUACUGAGAAUUGGUCUUCAAUCUCACUAUUAGCAGUAGUUAAAGAGUUUCAAAGGGUUUUCUGCACUAUUUGGUAUUCAAAAUGGUCUAAGGAAGCUGGUUUUGCUGUGUUCAUCUGCUGAAGUGCACUUUUCUUUUGCUACUGAUCCCUUCACUUUUCUUUUGCUCUAAUUUUCCCAGGUAUUUCUUGGACCUUAUUAACGUGUGAAGUGCAAAAAAUCUGAAUCCAUAUAAUCAAGAUGGAAUUCAAGACACAUGUUGUUUGUUGAAUGAUGUUCUAUGUCUUAAUAUCAUGCAAUUCUAUAGUAGCUUAGUCUCUUUGAUAUGCUUAUCUAAUCAGUGAUGAUUUUGGUUUGAAUCUUGUUUGUAAGUCUAGACAGGUACUCUAAUUUAGCUUACUGUUAUUGUAAAUUAUUUGAAGUUCUAUUUGUAUGUGUGGAUUGUUGGGUUUACUGCAGCAUGGGAUGAUUUAGAUGAGUAACAUGUUCUUUUUCUUGAGAUUUUGAUUGUAUUGUUUCGAGCUAAUAAUAAUAAUCCGCUUACAAUGAGCUCGCCAUGUAAUCAAGAUGGAAUUCAAGACACAUGUUGUUUGUUGAAUGAUGUUCUAUGUCUUAAUAUCAUGCAAUUCUAUAGUAGCUUAGUCUCUUUGAUAUGCUUAUCUAAUCAGUGAUGAUUUUGGUUUGAAUCUUGUUUGUAAGUCUAGACAGGUACUCUAAUUUAGCUUACUGUUAUUGUAAAUUAUUUGAAGUUCUAUUUGUAUGUGUGGAUUGUUGGGUUUACUGCAGCAUGGGAUGAUUUAGAUGAGUAACAUGUUCUUUUUCUUGAGAUUUUGAUUGUAUUGUUUCGAGCUAAUAAUAAUAAUCCGCUUACAAUGAGCUCAUCUCAUAGUCCUACUAUUUUAGAUGUUGGUUAAUAUCCAAAGAAAUUUAGGAACUACUCUAUUGUAUUUUCAUAUUUAGUUUGAAUGUUUAAAGUACUCUACUGUUAGAAUUACUAUGUGUAUGAAUUCAACAUCGAUGAGUAGUAGUUCUGAAUUUUUGUAUGUAUGUGGUUUGUGUUAGCGUGUAGUGUUCUGUUCUGCAAUUUAGAGUUAAAUUAGAUGGGAAAUU
rnacentral:lncRNA from 1 species